rnacentral:miRNA from 1 species
UGGCAAGAUUACGGCGAAGCUGA